GGGUGAGUAACACGUGGAUAACCUACCUAUAAGACUGGGAUAACUUCGGGAAACCGGAGCUAAUACCGGAUAAUAUAUUGAACCGCAUGGUUCAAUAGUGAAAGACGGUUUUGCUGUCACUCAUAGAUGGAUCCGCGCCGCAUUAGCUAGUUGGUAAGGUAACGGCUUACCAAGGCGACGAUGCGUAGCCGACCUGAGAGGGUGAUCGGCCACACUGGAACUGAGACACGGUCCAG
rnacentral:rRNA from 1 species